AUGGAAGAAACAGAUGUGAUGUCCCCUGAAUUAUAUGAGAAGAAGGUUGAUAUCCUAGCAGAAUUAUACAAUCUGUUAGUGGAAGAGGAGGUUGCUUGGGUGCAAAAAUCUCAUGAAAACUGGUUGUUGAAAGGGGACAGAAACACUGAUUAUUUCCACAAAAUUGUGAAUGGGAGAAGACAGAGAAACACUAUCUUUUCCCUUAGUUGCGGGGACGAGGUAAUCGAAGGGAACAGUAACCUCUUGAAACAUGGCACAAACUUUUAUAAGGACCUUUUUGGGCCGGCAGCUGGAAACUUAUGUAAAAUGAGGGAGAAUAUGUGGGAAUCACAUGGGAAAUUGACAGACAUUGACAACUUUAUCCUCACAAGACACAUCUCUGAAACAGAAAUUAAGAAUGCUUUAUUUUCCAUGAAACCAAAUAAAGCUCCAGGUCCAAAUAAUAUCCCCAUCGAGUUUUUCCAACACUGUUGGGAGGUAGUUAAAGGUGAAGUGAUACUGUUAUUCGACUGGUUUCAUGAUAAUAAACUUCAUGUGUAG
rnacentral:rRNA from 1 species